rnacentral:rRNA from 1 species
CCUACGGGCGUCAGCAGUGGGGAAUAUUGGACAAUGGGCGAAAGCCUGAUCCGGCCAUGCCGCGUGUGUGAAGAAGACCUUCGGGUUGUAAAGCACUUUCAGUGGGGAAGAAAGCCUUGGGGCUAAUACCCUCGAGGAAGGACAUCACCCACAGAAGAAGCACCGGCUAACUCCGUGCCAGCAGCCGCGGUAAUACGGAGGGUGCGAGCGUUAAUCGGAAUUACUGGGCGUAAAGCGCGCGUAGGCGGUCUGAUAAGCCGGUUGUGAAAGCCCCGGGCUCAACCUGGGAACGGCAUCCGGAACUGUCAGGCUAGAGUGCAGGAGAGGAAGGUAGAAUUCCCGGUGUAGCGGUGAAAUGCGUAGAGAUCGGGAGGAAUACCAGUGGCGAAGGCGGCCUUCUGGACUGACACUGACGCUGAGGUGCGAAAGCGUGGGUAGCAAACAGGAUUAGAUACCCUGGUAGUC